rnacentral:lncRNA from 1 species
CCGCAGUGGUGUAUUGUGACUGCUGUUUCCUGACAGCAUGUGAUAGUAACCUUGAUUCCUAAAAGGCAUUUCUGUGUUGUUAACGUGGUGGAUUCAUGGGCAGAAGCUUCCAGACCAGGCCCACAGAUGCUCUGCGUUAUUUUGAGCACUUGUAACACUCUUUGUGAUGAACCCCCAACUCUGUGUUUGUUUAUGACGGUGCUGAGUAGUUGCGUGGGUCUGCCUAGCAUGACUGCAGCUCUUGACCAGAGGAUUUUAUGGGGAUGGCAGGAGGAAACCUCCAGCACUACAGGAGAU